rnacentral:rRNA from 1 species
AGAGUUUGAUCCUGGCUCAGAACGAACGCUGGCGGCAGGCCUAACACAUGCAAGUCGAGCGCCCGCAAGGGAGCGGCAGACGGGUGAGUAACGCGUGGGAACGUGCCCUUUGGUUCGGAAUAUUCCCGGGAAACUGGGAGCAAAACCGGAUAAGCCCUUCGGGGGAAAGUUUACGCCAAGGGAUCGGCCCGCGUUAGAUUAGGUAGUUGGUGGGGUAACGGCCUACCAAGCCUACGAUCUAUAGCUGAUCUGAGAGGAUGAUCAGCCACACUGGGACUGAGACACGGCCCAGACUCCUACGGGAGGCAGCAGUGGGGAAUCUUGGACAAUGGGCGCAAGCCUGAUCCAGCCAUGCCGCGUGGAUGACUGAAGGCCCUAGGGUUGUAAAGUCCUUUCGACGGGGACGAUAAUGACGGUACCCGUAGAAGAAGCCCCGGCUAACUUCGUGCCAGCAGCCGCGGUAAUACGAAGGGGGCUAGCGUUGUUCGGAUUUACUGGGCGUAAAGGGCGCGUAGGCGGAUUUUUAAGUCGGGGGUGAAAUCCCGGAGCUCAACUCCGGAACUGCCUUCGAUACUGGAAGUCUGGAGCACGGUAGAGGUGAGUGGAAUUCCGAGUGUAGCGGUGAAAUGCGUAGA